ensembl:ncRNA lncRNA:CR45242 long non-coding RNA:CR45242
GAAACUUAGUACAAUCGCAGACAUGGUCGCGUAAAGUGCUCCAAGGAAGGCAGUCGUUAAAUAAACCAUAAAACAAGCAGUCAGCCAUGGAAAACAAAUAAAGCCCACCCACAAAAUAUAAGCUUAUGGCGGGGGAAAAAAAAUAGAGGAGGAAAUGCGAAAAAUAUCCCCAAACUGCUGAGAAACCACAGGCAUGACAAACAUUAACACGGACUCUGACGCAAUUUAACACCAAUUACAAUAUCCGUUACAUCUAAUUAUUGUAAGAGGCCCACAAGGAAGCCACUGGCUAGUCGUUCUGCGGACUAAAUUAAAGAAAAACACCGCUGCCAGGACAUGGGUGGCGCCUUUUGCGGUUGUUAGGACAUUAACAAUGGAAACUUCAGUUCGGCAAAAGGAAAAACACGAAGCAAAAAGACCAGAAGCAGCAAAUGGCGGCUAUAAAACAACAGAGAACAGAACCCAUGAAAUAUGAGCAGGAAGCUCAAGGAAAAAAACACAAUUGUGGGGUGGCUGGGGCGAGCAUUUCUUAAUUUCCAACAAUUUACGCUGAAAGCUUUCAGCGCUCAAAUGACGCACAGACGGCUGCAGGACUCCAGUGUCCUGUUCUUUUUUUUUUUAUAUAUUUUGUGUGUUCCUGGCCAAGGCGACGAUGAUGAUCUAACGCCAUUAUUUCCCCGCCAAACGACAGGCAGUUGUUAAUGGGGCUUACCACUUAAGCGCGACGGCAUAAAAUAAACACGCGGUCUGCUCUACCGCCCUCUUCCACGGACACGGCCACGCCCCCCUCCAAGCCACCCACCGCCCAACUGCGGAUGUCCUGGCAAAUUAAUUAACAUGACGGCCAGUCACUGGCAGCAUAUUUCACACUC